GACGUAGGGCGCGAGCGUUGUCCGGAUUUAUUGGGCGUAAAGAGCUCGUAGGCGGUUUGUCGCGUCGUCUGUGAAAACCCACGGCUCAACUGUGGGCUUGCAGUCGAUACGGGCAGGCUAGAGUUCGGUAGGGGAGUGUGGAAUUCCCGGUGUAGCGGUGAAAUGCGCAGAGAUCGGGAGGAACACCCGUAGCGAAGGCGGCACUCUGGGCCGGUACUGACGCUGAGGAGCGAAAGCGUGGGGAGCAAACGGG
rnacentral:rRNA from 1 species